GACGAACGCUGGCGGCGUGCUUAACACAUGCAAGUCGAACGGAAAGGCCCUGCUUUUGUGGGGUGCUCGAGUGGCGAACGGGUGAGUAACACGUGAGUAACCUGCCCUUGACUUUGGGAUAACUUCAGGAAACUGGGGCUAAUACCGGAUAGGAGCUCCUGCUGCAUGGUGGGGGUUGGAAAGUUUCGGCGGUUGGGGAUGGACUCGCGGCUUAUCAGCUUGUUGGUGGGGUAGUGGCUUACCAAGGCUUUGACGGGUAGACGGCCUGAGAGGGUGACCGGCCACAUUGUGACUGAAAUACGGCCCAGACUCCUACGGGAGGCAGCAGUGGGGAAUAUUGCACAAUGGGCGGAAGCCUGAUGCAGCAACGCCGCGUGCGGGAUGACGGCCUUCGGGUUGUAAACCGCUUUCGCCUGUGACGAAGCGUGAGUGACGGUAAUGGGUAAAGAAGCACCGGCUAACUACGUG
rnacentral:rRNA from 1 species